AGACUGAACCAGCCAUGCCGCGUGCACGAAGAAUGCCUUAUGGUGUGUAAACUGCUUUUAUAUGGGAAGAAUAAGGAGUACGCGUACUUUGAUGACGGUACCAUAUGAAUAAGCAUCGGCUAACUCCGUGCCAGCAGCCGCGGUAAUACGGAGGAUGCGAGCGUUAUUCGGAAUCAUUGGGUUUAAAGGGUCUGUAGGCGGGCUAUUAAGUCAGGGGUGAAAGGUUUCAGCUUAACUGAGAAAUUGCCUUUGAUACUGGUAGUCUUGAAUAUCUGUGAAGUUCUUGGAAUGUGUAGUGUAGCGGUGAGAUGCUUAGAUAUUACACAGAACACCGAUUGCGGAGGCAGGGGACUAACAGACGAUGGACGCUGAGAGACGAGAGCGUGGGGAGCGAACAGGAUUAGAUACCCUGGUAGUCCACGCUGUAAACGAUGGAUACUAGCUGUUUGGAGUAAUUUGAGUGGCUAAGCGAAGUGAUAAGUAUCCCACCUGGGGGAGUACGCACGCAGUGUGAACUCAAACG
rnacentral:rRNA from 1 species